CCUACGGGUGGCAGCAGUCGAGAAUCAUUCACAAUGGGGGAAACCCUGAUGGUGCGACGCCGCGUGGGGGAAUGAAGGUCUUCGGAUUGUAAACCCCUGUCAUGUGGGAGCAAAUUAAAAAGAUAGUACCACAAGAGGAAGAGACGGCUAACUCUGUGCCAGCAGCCGCGGUAAUACAGAGGUCUCAAGCGUUGUUCGGAAUCACUGGGGGUAAAGCGUGCGUAGGCUGUUUCGUAAGUCGUGUGUGAAAGGCGCGGGCUCAACCCGCGGACGGCACAUGAUACUGCGAGACUAGAGUGAUGGAGGGGGAACCGGAAUUCUCGGUGUAGCAGUGAAAUGCGUAGAUAUCGAGAGGAACACUCGUGGCGAAGGCGGGUUCCUGGACAUUAACUGACGCUGAGGCACGAAGGCCAGGGGAGCGAAAGGGAUUAGAUACCCCAGUAGUC
rnacentral:rRNA from 1 species